CCUACGGGCGGCAGCAGUGAGGAAUAUUGGUCAAUGUGCGAGAGCCUGAACCAGCCAAGUCGCGUGAAGGAUGACGGCCCUACGGGUUGUAAACUUCUUUUGUCAGGGAGCAAUUGGCUCCACGUGUGGGCUUAGCGAGAGUACCUGAAGAAAAAGCAUCGGCUAACUCCGUGCCAGCAGCCGCGGUAAUACGGAGGAUGCGAGCGUUAUCCGGAUUUAUUGGGUUUAAAGGGUGCUUAGGCGGAAUGUACAGUCAGCGGUAAAAAUUCGGGGCUAAACCCCGUCGUGCCGUUGAAACUGGUGUUGUAGAGUGGGCGAGAAGUAUGCGGAAUGCGUGGUGUAGCGGUGAAAUGCAGAGAUAGCACGCAGAACUCCGAUUGCGAAGGCAGCAUACCGGCGCCCGACUGACGCUGAGGCACGAAAGCGUGGGUAUCGAACAGGAUUAGAUACCCUAGUAGUC
rnacentral:rRNA from 1 species